rnacentral:misc_RNA from 1 species
AUGACUAGGAGGACGAGGUCUUUUGGAGAUAUGAGUGAGGCCAUGGGGAGAGAUGGGCGAGAAGACAGAAGGACUGUGACUCCAUUGAGGGAAAUGAAGCCUGAGAGGAUUUUUGGCAAGAUGGCUCAUUUGCAGAGGUUGCUGGACAGAUUCUUGUCGUGUCGGCCCACGGGAUUAGCCAAGAACAGCAGGAUGAUACUGAUUGCGCUUUACCCAAUUGUGAGAGAGAGUUUCCAGUUGUAUGCAGAUAUAUGUGAGGUUUUGGCCGUCUUGCUGGACAAAUUCUUUGACAUGGA